rnacentral:rRNA from 1 species
UACGGAGGAUUCAAGCGUUAUCCGGAUUUAUUGGGUUUAAAGGGUGCGUAGGCGGAAUAUCAAGUCAGCGGUAAAAAUUCGGGGCUCAACCCCGUCGUGCCGUUGAAACUGGCGUUCUUGAGUGAGCGAGAAGUAUGCGGAAUGCGUGGUGUAGCGGUGAAAUGCAUAGAUAUCGCGCAGAACUCCGAUUGCGAAGGCAGCGUACCGGCGCCACACUGACGCUGAGGCACGAAAGCGUGGGGAUCGAACAGG